UACAGAGGUCUCAAGCGUUGUUCGGAUUCAUUGGGCGUAAAGGGUGCGCAGGCCGCGCGGGCAGUCAAUUGUGUAAUUCAGGGGCUCAACCCCUGGACUGCGCUUGAUACUUCCGUGCUAGAGCUUUGGAGAGGAGUCUGGAAUUCUCGGUGUAGCAGUGAAAUGCGUGGAUAUCGAGAAGAACACUUAGGGCGAAGGCAAGACUCUGGACAAAUGCUGACGCUCAUGCACGAAGGCUAGGGUAGCGAACGGG
rnacentral:rRNA from 1 species